rnacentral:lncRNA from 1 species
GGUUGUGCUUGGGUGUGCUGAGUUGUGAUUGCACUCGGGUUGGGGCGGUUGCAACUACAACAACAGAAAACCCCUAACAAAAAGAAAUGGAAACCGAUUUCAUCGACGCCGACAACCCUCCACCCAUUUGGGCUUGGGUGUGCUGACUUGCGAUUGCGCUUGGGUUGGGGCGGUUGAGACUACAACAAAAAACCCUAACAAAAAAAUGGAAACCAAUUUUCAUCGACGCCGACAAACCCUCCCCCCGACGCCCGGUUACGCUUGGGUGUGCUAAGUUGCAGUUACGCUCAGGGGGAGGGUUGUACUAACGAAAAACUAAGAAAAAAAAUGCCGUCGCCGGCCACCUUAAAGUUCAACCCAGACACCUGCUUAAACUUAUUCCUUGCAGUGCAUGGAAUGUUCUGUUGACAAAACAAAAGAAAAAGAAAAAGGAAAAACAUGAAAUAUAUCAAAAAAAGGAAAAAAUGCUUUCAUGUUAAUAAAAUUAUGGCAAGAAAAAAACAAUUAAGAAAAGAAGAAGAAAGAUUACCGCUGAAGCUUCAGAGUCAUCACGGAUAACAAUGUGAAAACUCUGCUCGUUAUCGCUCCCACAAUGCGAAUGGCAGAUUGGGCACACCAUCCUACAUAUACGGGGAAAACGCAAAAACAUGACCUUGGGAUGAAUUAGAACAAGGAAAAGGUAUUACACAAAAAUGUGUUGUAGAAGAAAACAAAAAAAUCAAUAAAAAAUUUAAGGUCUGCAUUCCCAUAACAAAAAAACAAAGAAAGGGCAUGACACUACAGUACUGGAGGCCGCUGAUAUAAAUAUUGGAGCAAUGUGCAGCAGCCAGGAUUCUCUUGCUUGCCCCAAAAAAGAAAAAAUUGAAGCCACUCCGUCAGCAACAGAUUUGCUCAUAAAAAACUAGCAGAUCCUAUUCUAGGCAGACCUGGGCUUUUGCGUCAAAAACAGUCCGGGCCGGACUGCAAAGACAAAAAA